AUGGAGGCAGUCGCCAGAGCAAGCAUCGCGGCAGGCUCGCACGCACGGGUCCCCCUGUGCCGGCGACCGCGGCCGCGCCACGCCGUGCGCUGUCUCCGGGGACGACCCUCGGUGGCCUGCGCGGCCGCCGCCGACGCCGAUGUCGUCCGUCUCUUCGACGCCGCCAAGCUCACGGUGGACGAGUUUGUGAAGAGCGGGAUGGUGGUCGGGCUCGGCUCCGGCGCCGCGUCCGGGCUCGCCGUCCAAUACCUCGGCACGCGCCUCCGGCGAGGCUCGCUGACCGGCAUUGUUGGCAUACCCUCGUCUGUGAUCUGUGCAAGUGAGGCGGAGAAAGCCGGGAUCAAGGUCGGCAGCCACGAGGAAGGCACCCAAAUUGAUUUUGCUUUCGCUGAUGCUGAUGUAAUUGAAGAGGGCACACUCGCUGCUGUCAUCGGGCGCGGGAAAACCGAAAGCGGACAGCCUUCUUUCAUACAAGAGAAGGGUAUUGUUGAAUCGGCUGACAAGGUUGCCUUUAUCAUUGACAACGACAAAUAUGUGAAUGGCAUCGAGGGAUCCAUUCCAGUUUUGGUCAAAAGUGGGAACUGGAUCGACACCGCUGAAGAGAUUGAUGAUUUGUUCCUAGGCGACGCAGAGGUUUGGAGGAGGCCAUCAAUUGGAACUGCCGGUCCAUCGGGAGGCGACUUCCCGCUGGUAACCAAGGAGGGCCAUCACAUACUUGAUGUUAUCUUCACAACCCCAAUCCAGGAUCUUGGAAAGGUAGCAGAAGACUUGGAGAAAAUCGUUGGCGUUGUGGACCAUGGGAUAAUUUGCAACACUAUGCCGUAUGCCGUAAUUGCGUCGAAAGGGGAAGUUCAGGUCUUGGAUCGGAAGUCAUCGGUGAUACCGAACACAUAA
rnacentral:rRNA from 1 species